rnacentral:lncRNA from 1 species
GGAAUUUUUGUAUUCUGACUUUCUAGAUUGCUCUUACAUCAGAGUGAUGUGACCAUCCGUAUGUAUCAAAAAAAAAAAAAGAAAGAAGAAGGUNNNNNNNNNNNNNNNNNNNNCUAGAUUGCUCUUACAUCAGAGUGAUGUGACCAUCCGUAUGUAUCAAAAAAAAAAAGAAAGAAGAAGGUCAAGGAGGAUGGAGAACCAAAAAGAAGCUCAGUAUGAAGGCAUCCUGGAAGGAACAGAGCAAUCUAUGAAAAGCCGAAAAGAAACUCUAGGCUAGGGAAGAAGGAAGGCUUCACAAAAAAAGCUCGAACAUUCGCAAUUGCCGCAAUAGAGUUGAUCCUACCCCAUAAUUUGUAGAAGCCUGCAAGUUCCUUCUAUUUAUAGAUUAAGAGCCAGUCGUUGAGUUGCUAGACACUUUUGAAGAGGACGGAUCAAGGUUCAGAAGAUUUAUGCAAAAAGAUGCAAAAGUUUCUUUCCUGCCAGUAGCACCAAACCACUGCUACAAUUGGCAUGAACACAGGGUGGUGGAGGUCGUUGGAGGACAACCGGCAUCUCCAAGAUGUACAAAGUUCUCAAAGGCUAAUUGUUGAUAAACAGAGACGGAAGAAGAGAGAUAGAGGAAGAGAGGA